rnacentral:rRNA from 1 species
AUUGAACGCUGGCGGCAUGCCUUACACAUGCAAGUCGAACGGCAGCAUGAUCUAGCUUGCUAGAUUGAUGGCGAGUGGCGAACGGGUGAGUAAUACAUCGGAACGUGCCCUGUAGUGGGGGAUAACUAGUCGAAAGAUUAGCUAAUACCGCAUACGACCUGAGGGUGAAAGUGGGGGACCGCAAGGCCUCAUGCUAUAGGAGCGGCCGAUGUCUGAUUAGCUAGUUGGUGAGGUAAAGGCUCACCAAGGCGACGAUCAGUAGCUGGUCUAAGAGGACGAUCAGCCACACUGGGACUGAGACACGGCCCAGACUCCUACGGGAGGCAGCAGUGGUGAAUUUUGGACAAUGGGGGCAACCCUGAUCCAGCAAUGCCGCGUGUGUGAAGAAGGCCUUCGGGUUGUAAAGCACUUUUGUCCGGAAAGAAAUCGCACUUACUAAUAUUAGGUGUGGAUGACGGUACCGGAAGAAUAAGGACCGGCUAACUACGUGCCAGCAGCCGCGGUAACAC